UCGGUCUCAGUACCAACAGCAUUUUUCGCGCUAGCGUUUGACUCUCGCUCGAUCACUCGACCACUGCCCGAAUGAUCGAUGGUCGACGCUCCGGACGGCGGCGCGCGCGCCAACGGCGAGGCCACCCCCUCNAUCGGUGAGCCUCCGCUUUCAUACUAAGCCCAAUGAUCACCAUGAUUUGGAUCGUGCCGGCAACUGUAACAUCAUUUAUCCCCCCCAGGUUGGAUCCGUAGCAUCCGUGCCGCUGACCGUCCUCCUGGUCUUCUCGUUCCUCCUCGCGGCGGCGAUGACGACCGCCAUCGUCACUUCGGUCGUCAUGUCCCUGGCUGCCGCCGGAGGAUUCAUGUCCGUGCUGUUCGCUUUCGUGGCGGCGAUGUACGUCGGGGCCCUGUCAGUCGCCGUCCUUGUUGUUUCAGCGACGACCGUCGCAACAGUCAUUGCCAUCACGAUUGCCACUGGUACGUCUAACGCUUCAUCUUCUUCCAGCUCCCACUCUUGCUUGAGACACUUCUUGUAUCUUGGGGUGGUUCAGGACCCUUUUUUUUUGCACAAAAAAAAAUCUAGAUCUAUUACAUAAAAAUUCAUCAGAAGUACGUAUAAAGCACCUCAAAUGAAUAUUCGGUAGGUUAAGCUGGUAACCACGUUCUGUCAUUUGGUUGUUCAUUCGGAAGUCUUAAUCAGAUGUUGUCCCUUCCAACCGCAUGGGACAUGUGGUUAGCAAACUCAACAUUCACAUAGAUGCUGUCCCUUCUUUCGUAAAAAAAAAAUAUAUAAACGUUUAGAUCACUACUUCUUUAUCAAGGAAGUAGCAGUUAAAAGUCUCGUCUGAAAAACACGUCAGCAACGGGCACUAUGUCAAGUACAAACUGAAAUGUGGUGGAGGCAUGAAUAUGGUCCUUCAAAUACGCACAUGAGGAGAGAGUAUAGCUGGCCAAACGGGACGGGCUAAACAGACUGGCACGCCAUGGACCGGGCAUGACCAGAGCUCUUGACACAUAUUUUGCUUAGCAUCGAUGACUUAGAAACGUGUGCACAGAUAAAUACAGAAUGUUAAUCAAGCAUAUUGCAGCAAUCCGUCUGACCAUGCAUAUCAUUGCAGGUUGGGUCGCGUUCUUCUGGAUUCUUUGGUUUUGUGCUAAGAAAUGCAUGGGCCUUGGCUAAGUUCUAAGAGAUCAAGAGGCACGACAAGCUAGCGGUCAGAUCCACGGCUGUCUGUAUAUAAGAUGGAUAAGUUAUUGCAAUUAUGUGAACCAUGCAUGUGAAGGUAGGGAUCUACUCCAGCUAGCUAUGUGAAUAAUAGGUUGCUUCUUUUCUACAACAGCGCAGAUAAGGAAUUCAUGUAAAGCUCAUCCUGUCUAGAACUGAUCGAUGUGGUUUUGUUGUUAGUUUCAGUCUAUGACCCAAAUCUUGCUUCAUCUUAGGUUCGCCUACUCCAGAAGCAUAUUAUUACUGGAUUCAUAUACAUAUGAAGUUUUGGAAUAUAUACUUUUGGUCACAUGUAAUACAUAUUUGGUUAGG
rnacentral:lncRNA from 1 species